ensembl:lincRNA
CUGGAAGCUUAGACUCAGAAGUCAAACUGUUCCACUUCUACCUCAUUCUGUUCAUAAGAAAGAGUCAUAGUGCCAGGACAGAUUCAAAAGAAGGUGGCUGGAAAUAGACUCUACCUUUUAAUGGUAGUAGGUACAAAUAAUUAAUGACUAUUUAACAUUUAUCAUAGGCUCUUAACUCUGAUAUGAAAGCAAUCUGAAAUUAUUUCAUUUUAAAGUUAUUUUAUAUUUAAAUAAUCCUGAGAUAGGGAUGAUCCUAGUAAGAAGAGAAGCCUGGAAAACAGGCUGUAGUCAUGAACCCAAAAGAUAAUAAUAAACAUAAUAACAGCAAAGAGUAAUAUUUUUCUUAUUAAAUGGUAAGCACUGUUUCAAGUCCUUUACAUUAACUCAUUUAAUCAUUACAAAAUCUUAUGAACAACAAUUAAGAGCUAUUAUUUUUAUUGCUGUUCUAUAGGCAAGAAAAUUGAGGCACAGAGAAUGUUAAGUGACUCCCCCAAAGUUGUAUAGUUACUAGUGGUGGAACUGGGAUUCCACCAAAGUUUCAGGCUACCGAAUCUGGACAUUAACCCCAAGUGUAUCUCAAGUUAAUGACAUAUGAGUUUGACCUGUCCAAUCCGUGAGAUCACAAUGCUACUACUCUGUCGUGCUCUAGCUGUGGCUACCAUCCAGAUCUUUAUCUUCUCAGAGAACCAGGCGUUUGCCAAGAACAUCAACUUCUACAAUGUGAGGCCUCCUCUUGACCCCACACCAUUUCCAAACAGCUUCAAGUGUUUUACCUGUGAAAAUGCAGGAGAUAACUAUAACUGCAACCGAUGGGCCGAAGACAAAUGGUGUCCACAGAACACACAGUAUUGUUUGACAGUUCAUCACUUCACCAGCCAUGGAAGAAGUACCUCCAUCACCAAAAAGUGUGCCUCCAAAAAUGAAUGUCAUUUCGUUGGAUGCCACCACAGCCAAGAUUCUGAACAUACGGAAUGCAGGUCUUGCUGUGAAGGAAUGAUCUGCAAUGUAGAACUGCCCACCAACCACACAAAUGCAGUCUUUGCUGUGAUGCACGCUCAGAGGACAUCUGGCAGCAGUGUCACCACACCCUACCUGCCAGUAUUUGUCUGGGUCUUCAUGCUUCCACUGCUAUGAUGCCACCUUUUUUAGGAGAGGGAGAGACUAGCCCUCUAAAGCACAAGGCAAAAACUGUGUGAACACUGGAGUGAAGAUCAGUCUUGCACUUGGUGAAGAUGGUACACUGGACCCCAAAGCAGAAGCCAGUGAUUUGCUUUGCUAAACUUUUCUUGCAUGAGAUCAUAGCAUUGAGAAUGGGGUCUUGGUAGGGACCGAAAGGACUGAGUUCCAUGCUCCCUCAUCAGAGGGGGUUGCAUCCUAUCAGUUCUAUCGGAAAUAUCCGGUCAGUAUUGUUGACAAGUGAUAAUACUCUGGCUAGUCCUGGCCUGACCAUGCCUUUAGCUGAAAGGACUUCUUGACUUCACUGACUCACUCAGAGGCUGCCUAGUCAGGCGCUCUGGUUUCUGUGGUUAUCUCUGAGUGUCUGCAAUCUCAUCCACAGGUGAGAAAGCAGUAUCUGCACUACAUUAGACAUCCUGAGAUAAUCAGCUCAUAAUGAGGAAAGGUUUACUGUGGCUCAUGGUUGUGAAGGUCUCAGUCCAUGAUCUACUGUUGCCUUUAGGCCUGUGAUGAGGCAGCACACAUGGUAGAGAGUGUGUGACUGAGCAAAAAGCCACUCUGCUCAUGGUGUGACAUUGAAGGAAAGGAGAGGAGACUAGGCUCUCACGAUCCCCUUCGAGAGUGGACCCCCAGUUACCUAAAACCUCUCACUAUGUCCCUUCUCCUGAAGGUACUACCACCUCCCAGUGGCAUGCAGACUGGGGACCAAGCUUUUAACACAUGAGCCCUUGGGGGACACUCAAGAUGCAAGCCACAGCACCCAGCAACAGUGUAGUCAGUGAGAAAGGCAACUGUUUAGGAAAACUUUUGCUCGAACUAAUGUGAACUCCAUUUGCCAGUCGUCAGGUGGGGGUGGGGGGAAUAAGGCUUUUCAGUUACACAAUGUAAAUGCAUGCUGUGUGUUUCUUGACUGACAGAGGCCCACAAUGAGACAAAUUUACCAAUGUCACUGAACUUGAAUUUCCACGUACCAGGGGUGACAUAUGCUGGCUUAAAGAAUAAAAUUCUAUGCCAAAGUAGCUUGGUUGUGUUUCUUUUCUAGGCAAGAAUUUUGGGGAAGUUAAAUGUGAACUUAGUGAAUUGAAGAGAUUAGGAAACCUUCCUGAUCAAGGAGAAAGAUUUAUUUCAAGGUGCACUCUCAGAAAUAGGUUAAAGGUUUAAAGAUUCUAGGUCAGAGGCAAUGACAGGCCAUCCCUUCUCCCCCACCCUCUCACCUUUUUCCUGAAUUUCAAGCCCACGAAGAGACCCUCUCUAAACACAUGUUGAAAUGUUUGGACUUAAUGUCUCCUCCUUUAUAACAGAAUCUCAAAUUUUCAAAUGAAUAUCUUCUCUCUGUUUCUAGAAGACUGAUUUCCUGCCUUUACACUUUGACGUGACCUUUAACACAGUGCCCCUGUAUGUGUAGUGAUGAUUUAGUGGAAUUUUUUUCUCCUACUAAACAUUCACUGUUAGAAUGUUGGCUGCUCUGUAGGGCCCACUGAUGAAGAUAUCCUGGUCAUAUAGGUUCAUCUGUUAUAUGUCUGUCUCAUCUAUAUCUGUUUCCAAC